UUUGUUUUUGAAUUAUUUUGUCCCCAUUGACAAUGAAUGGGGACAAAACGGAAGCGUUUUUCUCUGGUAUUGAGACCCUAUAACGGAUCUCAAUAUCAGAAAAUAGACACGCUAGUGUGAAAGUAGCCUUUCACUGAU